AGUACUUAUCUUUUAUUGUCGUAAAAACUACCUGUUGUAGGCAUAAAGAAGAAGACGAUCAACGCUUAGUACUGUGACCCUUUUCUUGAGUCGGAAAACCAAGCAAGGGUGUAAGAAGAAAUUGCCUAUAUAAACCACAUUUUUGCAUGUGGACAAUUUUAAAUUAACUGCUGGCAAUGACAACAAAACACAAUUACAAUUAUGAAGAAAUCUUGAAAUGGCAUCCGGAGAUGAUACUUAUUUCAGAAUCGCCUGUCACUUGGCAAGGUUUUCUACUUGUCUCAGAAUUGUAUCCUGCUGGGAAUAUUCGAUGUCUCAGAGUAAAAGUGAAACUAGUUAUGCCCAAUUAUCCAUCAUUUGAUAAGGCACGAAUCAACUUUGAUAAGCAUAUUGCUUUCCUGCGGAACAUAGAAUUCAGCAGAGAAGUGAAGGAGUCAAUGAAGUCUCAAAAAAAAACUGUAUCAUCAUUUUUGUCGCAGUUACAAUUACUUAUUGGUAAAUAUAUACAUACAAGUAGUAAAGUUUGUAUACCGUUUGACUUUGAAUCUACAAGAGACUUUUUGCAUGAUAUAAAAGCAGCUCUUCAGAAUCAGUCUGAUGUGCAAUUGUCAUGCGAUCGAAAUCUGAGUACUAUCAAAUUAUCCUUAAGAGAAAUAUUUCUUACAUUGCAAAGAUGUAAAGAUAUUGAUAUUCCCUGGAAAGUAGUAUCUUCUAACAUGCCUGAAAACUUUGAGAAGAUAGUAUUGAGCAAAAAUUUGAACAUUGUGACGACAAAGUUCAAAUGGCAAGUGGAAAUACUGGAAAGAGCAUGGGAACAAUUGAAAGAAAUUGAUGAGAAUUGUUGGGUAAUUGACCCACCAAAACCAAACAAAAGUCACAUGCACAGACGCAUUCAUUUGUCGCAAUCUAUAUCUGUAACAAUUACAAUAGAUCCCGUUGUUCCUACUGCUGCGCCGACAAUUCAGUUCUCGGGCAGCGAUAACGAGGUGAAAAGACAAAUGGAAGAUGUUUCCAAUAAUAUUCAUAACUGGAAUCCGGAUUGUAAUAUUUUAGAUAAUUUGAGGAUGUUGUUAAAUAUGUACACAUUUCCCGAGCAGCAGGACAGUUUGGACGAUUCGCAAGGUGUUAUCAGUAAUCGUGAAUGUGGUAUAUGCUUCUCUGAAACAUCGGAAACUGAUGAAUUGCCAAAUAAGAUAUGCAAUAACCAUAAGUGCAUGAAACACUUUCAUUCAGUAUGUUUAUCGAAGUGGUUACAAACUAAUGCUGCGAAUCAAGUUGUAUUUAGUCAUAUCUAUGGCAAUUGUCCACAUUGCAAGGAAGACAUUGCUUGUCCCAUUGAAUGUUGAAGGCAAAUAUUAACUUAUUUUUUAUAAUAUUGAGAUUGAAGAUAAUCAGCAACGAGUGCUUUGCUCAAACGACCAGUAUUUAUAUUAAAACCAUGAAGAUUGAAUGUCUUGUCUGAAACAAUAAUUUUAGAAAAGGUACGUGUGCUAUCGAUCUAAAUCCCGCA